rnacentral:lncRNA from 1 species
GUGUUGGAUUGGUGUGGGCUAGCCUGUGUUGGGUUGGUGUGGGCUGGCCUGUGUUGUGUUGAUGUAGACUACCCUGUGUUGGGUUGGUGUGGGCUAGCCUGUGUUGGGUUGGUGUGGGGUUGGUGUGGGCUAGCCUGUGUUGGGUUGGUGUGGGGUUGCCUGUGUUGGAUUGGUUUGGGGUUGGUGUGUGCUAGCCUGUGUGGGGUUGGUGUGGGGUUGGUGUGGGGUUGGUGUGGGCUAGCCUGUGUUGGGUUGGUGUGGGGUUGGUGUGGGCUAGCCUGUGUUGGAUUGGUUUGGGGUUGGUGUGUGCUAGCCUGUGUGGGGUUGGUGUGGGCUAGCCUGUGUUGGGUUGGUGUGGGGUUGGUGUGGUGUGGGCUAGCCUGUGUUGGAUUGGUGUGGGGUUGGUGUGGGCUAGCCUGUGUGGGGUUGGUGUGGGCUAGCCUGUGUUGGGUUGGUGUGGGGUUGGUGUGGGCUAGCCUGUGUUGGGUUGGUGUGGGGUUGGUGUGGGCUAGCCUGUGUUGGGUUGGUGUGGGGUUGGUGUGGGCUAGCCUGUGUUGGGUUGGUGUGGGGUUGGUGUGGGCUAGCCCACCUUGCCCACCGAAUACCCACAUGGGGCCAAUGGGUUCAUGUUUACUGGGGAGUCAGAGAAAGAAAAGAGAGCCUUUCCUCACAGCUAUCUACCUGAAGCUUGAAUCCACAUAUUACUCAAUGCAGGUUGGACUGGACUGAGCCAGCCCAGAGAACAUAUUGAUAAAGGGGACUUUUCUAACGCCUUCAAAGGCCUGUCUUAAUGAAUUGGAUCCAGAGUUCCAAUCAGCUCAAAACAUUUUGUUUUAAUGUCAUAUAUAGAGCUGGUCUUCAUUCUAUUUUAACAAUCUUAAGAGCUGUCAUUUUAUUGUGAGGAACUGCAGUUUUAUCGGACAUCUUUUCUGUUUUGUCCUCUGUGUGAGGGAUCCUUCAAGUUCAGUAUGAGAAGCCUUAGUCAGUAGUCACAUUAACACUGUCUAACUUUUACUCAACAGUAGUACUACUCAUUUUUAAUAACUAAAUCCUAUCUGGGCUCGGGGAGUAGCUUACUUACACUGUGUGAACCUAUGAGGCUGUGUGUGUGUAUGAACCUAUGAGGCUGUGUGUGUGUAUGAACCUAUGAGGCUGUGUGUGUGUGUGUGUGUGUGUGUGUGUGUGUGUGUGUGUGUGUGUGUGUGUGUGUGUGUGUGUGUGUGUGUGUGUGUGUGUGUGUGUGUGUGUGUGUGUGUGUGUGUGUGUGUGUGUGUGUGUGUCUGACU